CUUGGCCCAGUGAUGUUGGUGGUACCAGUCAUGCUAGUAGUGUAGAUGAAUCGAGAGGUGAGCUGACGGACAAUGGCAGCAGGUACUAUUCCUCUUGCUGCAGCUCACCAAGGUUGCCUGAAGCACAUGCAAAAGAGCUCAAAGAGGAACAAUCAGUGCAUGGUAGUGAUGAUGAAGAGGUUGAUGAACCACUUGAAAGAGACAGUGACGAG
rnacentral:misc_RNA from 1 species